UAGAGUACUCGGCUUUUAAGUGCG
rnacentral:tRNA from 1 species